AACCUCCUGCUCUACAUGUUGGCUAAUCAUGUCUGUAAUCUCAAAUCAAAUUUUGUAUGCUAAUAUUUUGUUAAUAGCUGUGCCAUUGCAUGCUGCAAUGGUAGAAGUCUUGCUCAAGGGUAGAAGAACAGUUUUAAGAGCAACAACCACUUUAUGUGAAAAUACUAAGGGCAAGACUCUCCCUAAAUUCUAUUUUCCAAUAUUCUUAAUUCUUCAAUUGGAGCAUGACGGGCUAUCAUUCUUCUAUUUUAGAUGAUUUAGCAUUACUAUUUUGUCUACUUCUGUAUAAAAAUGCUUUUGGGUCUGAAUAGUAUUCUACUCUUAGCAGUCUUGCAAUGAUUAGCCUUCUGAUCUUGUAGGUCUUAGGAGCCUCAUGGUAUCUGUUGUCAACUGAGCGUUAGGUGACGUACUGCAAGUAUGCUUAUAGACAUGAAAGUGCAGUCUCUCUUAUUUGGAUUGUGGUACUUUGAACAAAGAUGAAAGCAAACUAUGAGGAAACAAUACUCAGGUGUUUAAUAGCUGUGAUCCAAAAAACAUUACUAUUUUUUAUUAUGGGAUAUCCGCAAAUGCUGUCACACAAAAGGUUGUCUCAUCUGACUUUCUUGAGAAGUAUUUCUACUGGUUUUGGUAGGGCUUGCAGAAUCUGAGUUCCAUCGGCCAGGGUUUGGAAACUGCAUUUGCAAAAAUCAAAUGUGGAAGUGUUGCACCUUUUAUCUGUUUUUAGCCUCCAUAGGAUUGUAUAUAUUGUUUCUCUGUUAUAGCUGAUAUCUGUUAUUCUAGGUUAAAUAUUUGGAUGCAGUAGACCAUCAAACAAAUAAUUUUUGUUUCUUUCCCAGGGAUAACCAAAAAUAUUGCUUUUGGUUUUAAAACCUAAAAAACCAUUGACUUCUCCUUUUCUUUUCUGUCACAUGAAAAUCAACUACGAAGUACUACUUAUGGGAAGGAACCUUGAUAACAUACGUGUGGUUUGGUCAUGUACAUGUGGUUCGACAGUUAUGGAAAUGAAUGUCAGGCUUUGCAUGUUUAACUCAUAUUUCAACCUAUCGUUUUUCUAGGGAUGUAUGGUUAGAUAUUCAGGAAGAACUCUUAUUGGUGCCUAACUUUUUACUUCUAAUUUCAGCUUAAAACAAAAAGUUUAAAUUUCAGUAAGUUUUUUGGUUGCUAUCCUGUUUUUUUCGAUCAAUUUGUUAGGAGAAUGAUAAGUGAUGCUAGCUUUAUUAGUUUCGUUUGUGGUUUUGAUAUUUUUGACUCAGUAAUUAUAUGUUUUGUGAUUUCUUCUUGCUUUUUUUUUUGGAAACAACAGUUGUCGUUUAUCUAGACUUGCAAAGAGUUCUUCUAGCAUUCCAAUAGUCUCAGUGAGCAAUCCGGAGAAAGGAGCCUUGUGGUUAUGUUUUUAUGAUGAGGGAGUUUCUCUACUAACUUGUGUGUUUCUGUACAUUAAUUUAAGCUAAGCUAAGUUGUAUGUAUUUGUAGGGUUCAACACUUUGAAUGUUUGAGGAAGUAUUAUUUUACAUUGAAAUAUGAUUGUUUUUUUCUUAAUCUUGACUGAUUUGGAACUAUGGAAGGCUGAGCUCUUUAUGCUAUUGCCUACUGAUCUUAUGUCUUCCAUUGUCGCAAAACUGUAGUUCUAUUGCAUUAUUAAUAGACAUCAAUAUAUUAUUUUGGGUGAU